GACGAACGCUGGCGGCGUGCUUAACACAUGCAAGUCGAACGGAAAGGCCCUGCUUUUGUGGGGUGUUCGAGUGGCGAACGGGUGUGUAACACGUGAGUAACCUUCCCUUUACUUUGGGAUAACUUCAGGAAACUGGUGCUAAUACCUGAUAGGAGCUCCUGCUGCAUGGUGGGGGUUGGAAAGUUUCGGCGGUUGGGGAUGGACUCGCGGCUUAUCAGCUUGUUGGUGGGGUAGUGGCUUACCAAGGCUUUGACGGGUAGCCGGCCUGAGAGGGUGACCGGCCACAUUGGGACUGAGAGACGGACCAGACUCCUACGGGAGGCAGCAGUGGGGAAUAUUGCACAAUGGGCGGAAGCCUGAUGCAGCAACGCCGCGUGCGGGAUGAAGGCCUUCGGGUUGUAAACCGCUUUCGCCUGUGACGAAGCGUGAGUGACGGUAAUGGGUAAAGAAGCACCGGCUAACUACGUG
rnacentral:rRNA from 1 species